AACGAACGCUGGCGGCAGGCCUAACACAUGCAAGUCGAACGCUCCGCAAGGGGAGUGGCGCACGGGUGAGUAACACGUGGGAACCUACCUUCUGGUACGGAACAACCAAGGGAAACUUUGGCUAAGACCGUAUACGACCUCCGGGUGAAAGAUUGAUCGCCGGAAGAGGGGCCCGCGUCCGAUUAGGUAGUUGGUGAGGUAACGGCUCACCAAGCCUUCGAUCGGUAGCUGGUCUGAGAGGAUGACCAGCCACACUGGGACUGAGACACGGCCCAGACUCCUACGGGAGGCAGCAGUGGGGAAUAUUGGACAAUGGGCGCAAGCCUGAUCCAGCCAUGCCGCGUGAGUGAUGAAGGCCUCGGUU
rnacentral:rRNA from 1 species